rnacentral:rRNA from 1 species
CACCCGUUCCCAUACCGAACACGGAAGUUAAGCUCUUCAGCGCCGAUGGUAGUUGGGGGUUUCCCCCUGUGAGAGUAGGACAUCGCCAGGC